UGAAUAUUUCGCGGCGUAUUUUUUUUCAAAAUUUUAUUGCAACUUCUUAUAUCUCGAUAGUGUGAUGAACAGACGGUGUACCCUAUCUGAAAUUACUCUAUGAGAAGUCAGCUUAGUGUUCUGAUAUCGAAAAAAACUUUCAGUCGGUG